AGCUAAUAGAUACCGGUAGUCCACGCCCUAAACGAUGUCUACUAGUUGUUGGUGGAGUAAAAUCCAUGAGUAAACGCAGCUAAACGCGUGAAGUAGACCGCCUGGGGAGUACGGUCGCAAGAUUAAAAACUCAAAGGAAUUGACGGGGGCCCGCACAAGCGGUGGAUUAUGUGGAUUAAAUUCGAUGCAACGCGAAAAACCUUACCUGGCCUUGACAUGCCACUAACGAAGCAGAGAUGCAUUAGGUGCCCGUAAGGGAAAGUGGACACAGGUGCUGCAUGGCUGUCGUCAGCUCGUGUCGUGAGAUGUUGGGUUAAGUCCCGCAACGAGCGCAACCCUUGCCAUUAAUUGCCAUCAUUUAGUUGGGCACUUUAAUGGGACUGCCGGUGACAAACCGGAGGAAGGUGGGGAUGACGUCAAGUCCUCAUGGCCCUUAUGGCCAGGGCUUCACACGUAAUACAAUGGUCGGUACAGAGAGUUGCCAACCCGCGAGGGGAGCUAAUCUCAGAAAGCCGAUCGUAGUCCGGAUUGUUCU
rnacentral:rRNA from 1 species